CGGGCACGGUGGCUCACGCCUAUAAUCCCAGCACUCCAGGAGGCCGAGGCGGGUGAAUCACAAGGUCAGGAGUUUGAGACCAGCCUGACCAACAUUGUGAAACACCGUCUCUACUAAAAAUACAAAAAUUAGCCUGGUGUGGUGGCAGGCAACUAUAAUCCCUGCUACUCGGCAGGUUGAGGCAGGAGGUUGCAGUGAGCCGAGAUCGUGCCACUGCACUCCAGCCUGGGUGAUAGAGUGAGACUCUAUCUCAAAAAAAAAAAAAAAAAGGAAAUUUGGACAGUUACAGAGAAAUGACGGAUGCAGGGAGAAGACAGCCAUCAGCAAGUCAAAGAGAGAACCCUCAAAAGGAAUCAUGUCUGCCGACACAUUGAUCUGGGACUUGCCAGGCUCCAGAACGAAGAGGAGAUGACACAGAAACACAUGGAGGGAAGACCAUGAGGAUACGGGGAGAAGGCAGCCAUCUGCAAGCCAAGCAGAGAGGCCUCAGGAGAAACCACCCCUGCUGACGCCUUGUUCUUGGACUUCCAGCCUCUGGAACUGAAAAGGCUUUUAGAUUUUAUUUAAAAAGAAGAAGGAGGAAGAGGACGAGGAGGAAAAAAUGGCAAAAAAAGAAGAUGGAGAAAAAGCAACAGCAGCAAAGAAAACAACUGUGUGGGAAUUUUCAUUGGAAUUGCAUUAAAAUACAGAUUGGAAGAGAAAUUACAUUUUAAGAUAUUGAGCCUACCUAUUUAGGAAUAUGGCAUAUUUUUCAUUUGCUUAGGUGAUCUUUCAUGAUUUUCGUUAAAGUUUUAUCCUUUGUCUCCAUAAAGGGGACUUGAAUAUUAGAUUUGUUCCUAGGCAUUUUACCUUUCUGUUGCUAGUACAAAUCUUUUUUAAAAUUACCUUUUAUAACUGAUUAAAGUAGGUAUGUAGAAAUGCAAUUGAAAUGCAGUCAAAAUAUUGAUUUUGUAUUUAGCCAUAUAGUUUCUGGGUUUUUGUUUUGCAAUGGGGGUCUCACACUGUCUCCCAGGGUGGAUUGUAGCUCACUGUAACCUUGAGGUCCUGGGCUCAAGGGAUCUCCUUCCUCAUCAGCCUCCCGAG
rnacentral:lncRNA from 1 species